UACGUAGGGUGCGAGCGUUGUCCGGAAUUAUUGGGCGUAAAGAGCUCGUAGGCGGUGUGUCACGUCGGCCGUGAAAACCUGCAGCUUAACUGUGGGCGUGCGGUCGAUACGGGCAUCACUGGAGUUCGGCAGGGGAGACUGGAAUUCCUGGUGUAGCGGUGAAAUGCGCAGAUAUCAGGAGGAACACCGGUGGCGAAGGCGGGUCUCUGGGCCGAACUGACGCUGAGGAGCGAAAGCGUGGGGAGCAAACAGG
rnacentral:rRNA from 1 species